AGCACAAGGUAGUGAGUUCAAUUCCCAGUACCGGAAAAAAAACAAAACAAAACAAAAAAAAAAUCUGUAUUAGGCCAAUAAAAUCCUAAGGGCUCUAAAAUUGCUCAGGGGCCCAUUCAGCAAAUAGGAACUAACCUUGAGCUAGUAUGACAAAAAUAUAUGUGAUACCAUGUGACUGAUGCCAUAACUGAAAUUUAGGAAAGGAUGGGGGAGGGGCAGGUAGGAGGGUACAGUAUUUCCAGGGUUUAGAGGGACCGAUGCUAGCUGGAGUCGAAAAACCCUCCAGUAAUUCUCCUAAAUUAUAGCUCCCCAUCGUUCUUACAAAGUUGAUCUGCUCCCUUCCUAAACUCUUGAGGUCUUCUUGGAGAAUGACAGGAUAAAGAAAAGCCCAGGGUCAGCCAGUAACUCCCUGAGUGUGAUCUCUUCCCUAAAAGAAUUCCAGGAAAGAAUUCUGGGAAAGCUCCCAGGAAACCCUUGGGAGCGAGGAGAGUGGAGUCCCACAGAGACCAGAUGGGUAAGGCAGGAUGACCAGGACUGCAGCACUGUUGGAAGGUCCACGUACAGCUCCAUGUGGCGCUUUCACGAGGCUCAGGAAAGAAGGAAGAGCUCUUGUGUGAAGUGGCCUAUGAAGAGUUACCCCACUGUACUACGGAGGAAGCCUGAGGGGGCUAAGUGGCUUGGCCAAGAGCAUCCAGCUAAGUCUGCAUCACAGCGGGUCUAAGUCCACACAACAGGCUCCAAGUGCAGGGCUCUUUCCCAUGCUUCCCUGGUGUUUUCAAACUGGUCUGGUUUGAAGAGCAACCCUGGAAAAGGCUAUGGCUACACCGAGAUCCUGGAACAGCAUCCAGGUCAGAAUCGGCAAACCCAGGGGUGCGACCCUUCCUCUGGCUCUGUCCUCUCUAAGCAGCCUCCUCUGGAGGCUUUGGACUGGAAGUCUCAGAAACUCCCUUUAUGGCCCAGCUUGAACAGAUUUUGGUCUCGUCCACAGGCAUUUCCAUGUUCUUGCCCUGGGAGGCUAUACCAGGGCCUUUCUGGGGACUCUACUCUCCCGGCCAGUGCUAAAAACUCACAACUUCAGAUCCCAACUCUGCAGAGAAAUGACCCAUCGUCUCGCUGUCACUGCCUGGACCACUGCCAAGGACAGAAGCCCCUUGGGACCG